rnacentral:rRNA from 1 species
ACGUUCCUGCUUGAAUUCUAAUGCAUAGUAGUCAGCAGAGAUAAGACCUACAUGAAUCGUAGUAGCUGCGAUCGAAGAGGAAGAGCCAGCACUGAUCGCAAGGUCUCGCUCUUAGGGAGAUGUGGUGAUUUGGGAGUAGCCGAUCAACCCGGGGUUUCGUGCACCCAGUUCAAGUCCAUCUUGAACGGGGCCCACGGUCCGUAGAGGGUGCCAGCCCCGUAGAUGACGGGUGCCGACCCCGGGUGGGUAUCUCCUUAGAGUCGGGCUGCUUGAGAGUGCAGCCCUAAGCGGGUGGUAAACUCCAUCUAAGGCUAAAUACUGCCACGAGACCGAUAGAGAACAAGUACCGUGAGGGAAAGUUGAAAAGACCUUUGAAGAGAGAGUUCAAGAGUACGUGAAACCGCUCAGGGGUAAACGGAUAAGACCCGAAACACCGAAAAGGGAGAUUCACGUCUCCACGCGGUGGUCGGCCCGCGCUCUGGGAGACGUCCUGCUCCCCGCCCGGUUCGUCCGUGGCGGUGAGCCGGCCGCUCUCGGCGCGGAGUCCGGCCCUGCGGGGGACCGCACUUCUCCCCCAGUAGGACGUCGCGACCCGCUCUGCGACGGUCUAACGGCCGGUAGAAUGCCUGGCCGGGGUCUUGCCCUUCGGGGUCGAACUCCCGGCCAGAUCUCCGGUUAGCGGCCGUCGGUCACGGGGCGGUAUGAAACGAUUAGGCGCUGGGCCGCUCCCCGGGAGCGCCGCUGUGUCCUCGCAAGCCUGUCGUCGAGCUCUCGGGUCGUGCCCUCGCGGGUACGCCCGGUCUCGGCGCGGACUGUUGGCGGGCGUACACUCCGGCCGAGUCCAGCACGCCAGUCGGCGGCGCUCAGACUCGGGUCCUUC